rnacentral:rRNA from 1 species
AGAUUGAACGCUAGCGGGAUGCCUUACACAUGCAAGUCGAACGGCAGCACGGACUUCGGUCUGGUGGCGAGUGGCGAACGGGUGAGUAAUAUAUCGGAACGUGCCCAGUAGCGGGGGAUAACUACGCGAAAGCGUAGCUAAUACCGCAUACGCCCUUAGGGGGAAAGCAGGGGAUCGCAAGACCUUGCACUAUUGGAGCGGCCGAUAUCGGAUUAGCUAGUUGGUGAGGUAAUGGCUCACCAAGGCUGCGAUCCGUAGCUGGUUUGAGAGGACGACCAGCCACACUGGGACUGAGACACGGCCCAGACUCCUACGGGAGGCAGCAGUGGGGAAUUUGGACAAGUGGGGGAAACCCUGAUCCAGCCAUCCCGCGUGUGCGAUGGAAGGCCUUCGGGUUGUAAAGCUACGUUUUGCGUAGGAAAGAAACGGCGCGUGACUAAUACCAUGCGACAACUGACGUACUGCAGAAUAAGCACGACUAACGUACGU